AGAGUUUGAUCCUGGCUCAGGAUGAACGCUAGCGGCAGGCUUAAUACAUGCAAGUCGUGGGGCAGCAUGAGUAGCAAUACUUGAUGGCGACCGGCAAACGGGUGCGGAACACGUACACAACCUUCCUUUAAGUGGGGAAUAGCCCAGAGAAAUUUGGAUUAAUACCCCGUAACAUAACGAAGUGGCAUCACUUUGUUAUUAUAGCUAUGGCGCUUGAAGAUGGGUGUGCGGCUGAUUAGGUAGUUGGCGGGGUAACGGCCCACCAAGCCUGCGAUCAGUAACUGGUGUGAGAGCACGACCAGUCACACGGGCACUGAGACACGGGCCCGACUCCUACGGGAGGCAGCAGUAAGGAAUAUUGGUCAAUGGACGCAAGUCUGAACCAGCCAUGCCGCGUGAAGGAUGAAGGUCCUCUGGAUUGUAAACUUCUUUUAUUUGGGACGAAAAAAGGCCUUUCUAGGUCACUUGACGGUACCAUAUGAAUAAGCACCGGCUAACUCCGUG
rnacentral:rRNA from 1 species